AAGGGGGUGCCUCCGUGGGGGCGGCUGAGAUUAUACCCAAUGAACCUGAUACGGUCAAUACCGUCGUAGGGAUUUUU
rnacentral:ncRNA from 1 species